rnacentral:lncRNA from 1 species
AGCUGAUACAGUAUUUGGGUCUCCUUCCUCAUCUACCCAUUUUGUAGUGAAAAGCUAUUUCUUGUCAAAAGAUCAGAUGUCUUGAACUUCAUUGCUCUCAAAGGAGAUAGGAAGUCUCAAAACAUGUUGUUAUCACAUCUCUUCCUAUAAGCAGGACCUUUCGGGUAGAGAUCUGGGCCAUGGAGGUGCUUGGGAAGCAGAGACCAUUGAAGGGUCAGCUGCCCUGGAAAACUAGCAUGAAAGGCUUGAUGGCAUCUGUUGGCCUCCUCAGAAGACUUGUGAACACCGAAUCAUGCUAUAAAGAACAAGAAGAAAAGGUCCCCAUCG